rnacentral:rRNA from 1 species
AGUGAACGCUGGCGGUAGGCCUAACACAUGCAAGUCAAACGGCAGCACAGUAAGAGCUUGCUCUUACGGGUGGCGAGUGGCGGACGGGUGAGGAAUACAUCGGAAUCUACUUUUUCGUGGGGGAUAACGUAGGGAAACUCACGCUAAUACCGCAUACGACCUACGGGUGAAAGCAGGGGAUCUUCGGACCUUGCGCGAUUGAAUGAGCCGAUGUCGGAUUAGCUAGUUGGCGGGGUAAAGGCCCACCAAGGCGACGAUCCGUAGCUGGUCUGAGAGGAUGAUCAGCCACACUGGAACUGAGACACGGUCCAGACUCCUACGGGAGGCAGCAGUGGGGAAUAUUGGACAAUGGGCGCAAGCCUGAUCCAGCCAUACCGCGUGGGUGAAGAAGGCCUUCGGGUUGUAAAGCCCUUUUGUUGGGAAAGAAAAGCAGCAGGUUAAUACCCCGCUGUUCUGACGGUACCCAGAGAAUAAGCACCGGCUAACUUCGUG